UCAAGUCGAACGAACCUUCGGGUUAGUGGCGGACGGGUGAGUAACGCGUGAGAAUCUGCCCUCAGGAGGGGGAUAACGGUUGGAAACGACCGCUAAUACCCCAUAUGCCUAUUGGUGAAAUGAAUUUCGCCUGAGGAUGAGCUCGCGUCUGAUUAGCUAGUUGGUGAGGUAAUGGCUCACCAAGGCUUCGAUCAGUAGCUGGUCUGAGAGGAUGAUCAGCCACACUGGGACUGAGACACGGCCCAGACUCCUACGGGAGGCAGCAGUGGGGAAUUUUCCGCAAUGGGCGAAAGCCUGACGGAGCAACGCCGCAUGAGGGACGAAGGCCUCUGGGCUGUAACCUCUUUUCUCAAGGAAGAAGAUAUGACGGUACUUGAGGAAUAAGCCACGGCUAAUUCCGUGCCAGCAGCCGCGGUAAUACGGGAGUGGCAAGCGUUAUCCGGAAUUAUUGGGCGUAAAGCGUCCGCAGGCGGCUUUUCAAGUCUGCUGUUAAAGCGUGGAGCUUAACUCCAUCAUGGCAGUGGAAACUGAAAGGCUUGAGUAUGGUAGGGGCAGAGGGAAUUCUCGGUGUAGCGGUGAAAUGCGUAGAUAUCGGGAAGAACACCAGUGGCGAAGGCGCUCUGCUGGGCCAUUACUGACGCUCAUGGACGAAAGCCAGGGGAGCGAAAGGGAUUAGAUACCCCUGUAGUCCUGGCCGUAAACGAUGAACACUAGGUGUCGGGGGAAUCGACCCCUUCGGUGUCGUAGCUAACGCGUUAAGUGUUCCGCCUGGGGAGUACGCACGCAAGUGUGAAACUCAAAGGAAUUGACGGGGGCCCGCACAAGCGGUGGAGUAUGUGGUUUAAUUCGAUGCAACGCGAAGAACCUUACCAGGGUUUGACAUCCUGCGAACCUCUUAGAAAUUUGAGGGUGCCUUCGGGAAUGCAGUGACAGGUGGUGCAUGCUGUCGUCAGCUCGUGUCGUGAGAUGUGGGAUCAGUCCCGCACGAGCGCAACCCACGUUUUAGUGCAGCAUUUAGUGGGCACUCUAGAAAGACCGCCGGUGAUAACCGAGAGUGUGAUGACGUCAGUCAUCAUGCCCCUACACCCUGGCUACACACGUACUACAUGCUACGACAGGCAGCAACUCCGGGAGAGCUGCAAUCCAUAAACCGGGUCUAGUUCAAAUCGAUAAGGGUGCAAUUGGC
rnacentral:rRNA from 1 species